GACCUGAUGGUGCAGUGGUUAGCACGUCUGUUUAAAUUUAGUGAUAAUCCAGGGUCCUUGAACAGGAAACCUCCGUUCGACUCGGGGUCAGGUCU